CCCUGACAGCUACGUGGUGUAGCUGACCAACCCAGACAGGAGAUCGACAUG
rnacentral:ncRNA from 1 species